GUAUCCUUAGUGUAGUGGCCUGCACCCUGCUCUGUGAAAGCGGUAGUACCGGAUCGAUACCGGUAGGAUACCCCA
rnacentral:tRNA from 1 species